AUCUGACGUGUUCCUAAAAGUCUGACAUCUCCAAAUUUUAUUUAGUUUAUGUGUGGUAGAUAUUGAAUGCUGAAAUUUUAAGAGCUUAAUAAUUUUUGUGUUGAAAUUUAACUGAACUAGUAAAUCCUGAUUUUUUUUUUAAAUUGUAAACUUAAUAUUAUCAUUUAGAAAAUAGUAUAAUUUAAUUUGGGAAAUAAUUAAGAAUCGGUUGGGAUAAAAGAGUUUAUGAUGAUGGUUGUAUCAGUAGUAUGAUGGUGAUAAUGAUGGUCAUGGGAGCACUUUUAAUGGUGGAGUCGUCUGUGGGGGGAUUACCGUACUACAAUGGUUGGGAUGCUGGUAAUCACAGUGAUUGUGGUUGCAGUAAUGCACCAAUGACGAAAUGGUGGUGGAAAUGAAGUGAUAGCAGCGAUGUUGGUUGUAGUGAUGAUGAUAUUGGUAGAUGGUAAAUGGUACUCGUUGAUGAUUGAAGAAAAUUAUUAGAAGAAAACAUUACAUAGAUUAUUUUUAUUUCUAGGUCCUUUUGGAUAAAUGAGAUUU
rnacentral:misc_RNA from 1 species